AAUAGAUACCCGGGUAGUCCACGCCGUAAACGAUGAGUGCUAAGUGUUAGGGGGUUUCCGCCCCUUAGUGCUGCAGCUAACGCAUUAAGCACUCCGCCUGGGGAGUACGGUCGCAAGACUGAAACUCAAAGGAAUUGACGGGGGCCCGCACAAGCGGUGGAGCAUGUGGUUUAAUUCGAAGCAACGCGAAGAACCUUACCAGGUCUUGACAUCCCGUUGACCACUAUGGAGACAUGGUUUUCCCUUCGGGGACAACGGUGACAGGUGGUGCAUGGUUGUCGUCAGCUCGUGUCGUGAGAUGUUGGGUUAAGUCCCGCAACGAGCGCAACCCUUGUUCUUAGUUGCCAUCAUUUAGUUGGGCACUCUAAGGAGACUGCCGGUGACAAACCGGAGGAAGGUGGGGAUGACGUCAAAUCAUCAUGCCCCUUAUGACCUGGGCUACACACGUGCUACAAUGGACGGUACAAACGGUUGCCAACCCGCGAGGGGAGCUAAUCCGAUAAAACCGUUCUCAGUUCGGAUUGUAGGCUGCAACUCGCCUACAUGAAGCCGG
rnacentral:rRNA from 1 species